GUGGCAGCAGCCGCGGUAAUACGGAGGCCCCAAGCGUUGUUCGGAUUCACUGGGCGUAAAGCGUGAGUAGGUGGCAAGGCAAGUUUGGCGUGAAAGCCCCGGGCCCAACCCGGGAAGGUCGUCGAAANCUGUCUAGCUAGAGGACCGGAGGGGAGUCUGGAAUUCCCGGUGUAGCAGUGAAAUGCGUAGAUAUCGGGAGGAACAUCAGUGGCGAAGGCGAGACUCUGGACGGUUCCUGACACUGACAACACGAAGGCCAGGGGAGCGAACGGGAUUAGAUACCCCGGUAGCCCUGGCAGUAAACGGUGUGCACUUGCUGUGGGAGGAUUCGACCCCUUCCGUGGCGGAGCUAACGCGUUAAGUGCACCGCCUGGGGAGUACGGCCGCAAGGCUAAAACUCAAAGAAAUUGACGGGGGCCCGCACAAGCGGUGGAGCAUGUGGCUUAAUUCGAUGCAGCGCGAAGAACCUUACCUGGGCUUGACAUGCUUGGUCAUACCUGCCCGAAACGGCGGGGUCAGUUCGGCUGGACCUUGCACAGGUGCUGCAUGGCUGUCGUCAGCUCGUGUCGUGAGAUGUUGGUUUAAGUACCGCAACGAGCGCAACCCCUGUGUCCUGUUGCCACCCGGCUGUUUGCCGGAGCACUCGAGACAGACUGCCUCAUUUGAAUGAGGAGGAAGGUGGGGAUGACGUCAAGUCAGUAUGGCCCUUACGCCCAGGGCUGCACACGUGCUACAAUGCCUGGCACAAUGGGAAGCAAGRCCCGCGAGGUGGAGCAAAUCCCCAAAACCAGGCUCAGUUCGGAUUGGAGUCUGCAAUUCGACUCCAUGAAGUUGGAAUCGCUAGUAACGGCGCAUCAGCUACGGCGCCGUGAAUACGUUCCCGGGCCUUGCACACACCGCCCGUC
rnacentral:rRNA from 1 species